CCUACGGGUGGCAGCAGUGGGGAAUAUUGCACAAUGGGGGAAACCCUGAUGCAGCGACGCCGCGUGAGUGAAGAAGUAUCUCGGUACGUAAAGCUCUAUCAGCAGGGAAGAAAAUGACGGUACCUGACUAAGAAGCCCCGGCUAACUACGUGCCAGGAGCCGCGGUAAUACGUAGGGGGCAAGCGUUAUCCGGAUUUACUGGGUGUAAAGGGAGCGUAGACGGCAGCACAAGUCUGGAGUAAAAUCCCGGGGCUUAACCCCGGAACUGCCUUGGAAACUGUGCGGCUGGAGUGCAGGAGGGGUAGGCGGAAUUCGUAGUGUAGCGGUGAAAUGCGUAGAUAUUAGGAGGAACACCGGUGGCGAAGGCAGCUUACUGGACUGUAACUGACGUUGAGGCUCGAAAGCGUGGGGAUCAAACAGGAUUAGAUACCCCUGUAGUC
rnacentral:rRNA from 1 species